rnacentral:rRNA from 1 species
GGAGGUAGUGACAAUAAAUCGCAAUGCGGGACUAUCAGUCUUGCAAUUGGAUUGAGAACAAUGUACAACUCUUAUCGAUAAGCCAUUGGAGGGCAAGUCUGGUGCCAGCAGCCGCGGUAAUUCCAGCUCCAAUAGCGUAUAUUAACGUUGUUGCAGUUAAAAAGCUCGUAGUUGAAGUGUGGGUGAUCGCUGUUGUGAGACUUCGGUCUCUCGACAGUAAGUCACCCCCUUCCAGUAUCCAGUAGUGGGUAUUCACUUACUUACUAUUGUGUGUUGGUCCUUUACUGUGAGAAAAUUAGAGUGUUCAAAGCAGGCGUUUGCUUGAAUAGAUUAGCAUGGAAUAAUAAUUGAAGGCUUUCGUGUUCGAUUUGAUUGGUUUGUUCAUGGAAGCAGGGUUAAAAGGAACAGUUGGGGGUAUUCAUAUUCACUAGUUAGAGGUGAAAUUCUCGGAUUUAUGGAAGAUGAACAAGUGCGAAAGCA